GCCACCUUGUAAACAUCCCAUCUCAGUUGAGUUCCCAUCAAAUGUAGGUCAAAUUCUAGAGCUUAUGUCAUCCAAUAUAGUUGAAAUAGUGAAUUAAUAUCAAGAAACUGUAAAUUGAUUUUGUUCCUGUAGAGAUCUAGACAUCCAUGGGACAGAUAAAGUCAAAUCACCUGUUUCUGUAGCCAAUGGCCAAUUAGAUUUAUUGGCCAGCACUAUAACUGUGAUGUGCCUUAGCUCUCCCCAGCAAAUAUUUGAUACCCAUUAUAAUAAAUAAACCCCCAAGUUUGUCUGACAUUCAAGUAGGUUCAAUAUUGAGACUUUCAGUUCAGCGACCUUUCACUUUACUCCUCAGUCACCUUGUUCAAAAGAUUUUUUUUAUUCCAGUUUUAUCAAAGUUUGUAGUUAUAAAAAAAAAGUCAAAUCUUAAAUGUUCUUAUUUUGUUGGAUUUAAAACACCUACCAACAAUUACACAACAAAGGAUUCUAAAUCUUCCUUUUGUUUGUUUUUGAUGGCUGUGACUAUAAUCAUUAAUUGGAAUCUCAACCAUUUGGCUAUAAUGUUUCAAAUAGACCCUCUACAAUAAACUAAAAUGUGUUUGAUAAUUAUAUUCCCUUUAGAAAAAAAAAAAAGUCCUCCUUUGACUACUCUUUCCCCACAUCUUUUUUUUUUUUUUCAAUUAUAGAUUUUGAUUGUGUUAAAAAUAAAGCAGUUAUGUUCCUUAAAAUGAUUGUAGCUUUAAUAUAUUUUUUUUUUGGGCUUUACUGUGGUUAAAAUAUGGUUACUAAAUAAGGUCACUCUGAUGUUUAAACAAAUUCUAUUUUAUUGACUAGAGAACAUCUUUUUUACAAAGCUUAUAUCAACUCACUCUGUCUGUCUGGUAAAAGGUUUAAACAUGUUGUUUUUUUUUUCCUACUUCCCAUUCUCUGAUCAAGUUGAAACUUUCCACAAUUAUUCAUUGUACCUGACAAAGCAUGAAUCAAACUGAAAAUCCACAAAUUAGUUACAUUAUUAUUGGUAAUAAAUUAUUUUGUUUGAUAUCAAAAUGAGGGUAUAAGGGUAACAUGCGAUACUAAAUGAGAGUAAUGUAUGUAUGUAUGGAUUUAAUACCGUUAUUGUGUUUUGUCACAUUAUUUUUCCCAUUCUGUCUCGGAUCAAGUUGAAAUUUCUAAUAAUUAUUCAUAGUCGGUGACAAUAUACAAAUCAAUAAAAAAAACUUGCCACUUAGUUAAUCGAUUAGUACUAAUUCAUUAAUUUUGUUUUAUAGAACAGAAAGGGAGCUGAAUCCUGCCAUUGUGAGAUAAUUUAGUUCUUUCCUUUAGAUAAGCUUUGUUUUUUAAAAAGUAUUAUUUUUUCUUGUGUCUGUUAACUAGCUUUAGUGGUUUAUCUAGCUCAUGUUUAUUUAAUGUACAAUAGACAAAUAUUUGAUUCAUUUUCUAUGGGUUGUACUUCUUUAAAACAAACAUUCUUAAUGUUCUGUCAUAUGUUUGAAUUUUUUACUACAAUACCUCUAUUUUACUUGUACAUUCGUGGAAACUAAAACCUUCUGGAUGGGUAGGCUCAAAAACCUGGGUAAAAGCUCUAACAAUUUUCCUAGAAAUUCGAUUGACAUUAAUGACAGUUAAUUUAAAUUGUUGGUAAAAGAAUUACUAGCUUGCUAGCCACACUUAAAAAUUCUAAUUUGACCGUUAUAAUUUUUCAAAGUAUAAGAUGAAAUAAAUUUUAGUUUGGUUAGAGAACUAGAAAAUAUUUAUCUUCACUUUUGAAUGGACUCUAUGUCUUCCAGUAUUUCCACAUUCAUUCAAGAGUUUAGUAAAUUAAUGCUCAGGAACAUUUUGCACACUGUCUUCAAAGUCUAGAAACUCUAGAUCAUAAUGCCUAUCAUUUGAAUAUUAUUUAGUCUAGUAGACCUAUAUAUUCAUUUAACCAGGAUUCUUUCUCAGGAAAGGGAUGGGGGGGGGGGGGGGGGAA